GACGAACGCUGGCGGCGUGCUUAACACAUGCAAGUCGAACGGAAAGGCCCUGCUUUUGUGGGGUGCUCGAGUGGCGAACGGGUGAGUAACACGUGAGUAACCUGCCCUUGACUUUGGGAUAACUUCAGGAAACUGGGGCUAAUACUGGAUAGGAGCUCCUGCUGCAUGGUGGGGGUUGGAAAGUUUCGGCGGUUGGGGAUGGACUCGCGGCUUAUCAGCUUGUUGGUGGGGUAGUGGCUUACCAAGGCUUUGACGGGUAGCCGGCCUGAGAGGGUGACCGGCCACAUUGGGACUGCGAUACGGCCCAGACUCCUACGGGAGGCAGCAGUGGGGAAUAUUGCACAAUGGGCGGAAGCCUGAUGCAGCAACGCCGCGUGCGGGAUGACGGCCUUCGGGUUGUAAACCGCUUUCGCCUGUGACGAAGCGUGAGUGACGGUAAUGGGUAAAGAAGCACCGGCUAACUACGUG
rnacentral:rRNA from 1 species